ACAUGCAGAAAUUAAACAGGAUUUCAACUGCUGAGACACAAUUCAUCAAAAGUAAGGUAAGUUUUAAUUCAUUGAUUUGAGUUGUACAAUGUGUUCUUUACUUUAUUUCAGAUUCGAGUCACUGGUUUACACAUGGAAGAAGAUUUCCACGUCUGUUACUCAACUCUACAGAAGCAAGUGGAUGUCCAGAUGGCAAGCAGAACAGACGUGUUUCUUGGAGCUGCCAAACAGUGAGUACAAACGUUUUAUAUUUUUCAGUUGUUUACUCAUAGAAGUCUGUGAAAGAUGAUAACAAGGGUUGAAUCUAUCAGCACUUGUGUCUAAAAAUGCUGAUGUGUGACGGUUUACUGAAAAGGGUAAAUGCUAGCCAGUACUUACACUUGAGCAACCGUGGGAUGUCGAACUAACUGAUGAUGUACUAUGAUGGUUAACACUUACUAUGUGUAUCAAAAUGCUUUUGUUGAUAUUUACUAUAGAUGAUUUGAUAUUGGUUAACAUUUGUUUGCAUGCUGUUAACAUUUCUAUUUCAUUUCAGGGAGCUGUGGUAAGUAUUGUAGUAUUAAUUUGUCUCAAUAAACGAUGAUGAAUGAAAACUGAUGUCGAUUCUUUUUGUACAGUUUUAGGUAUUAGCACUCUAUACAAAACUCUGUCGGUCGGUGUUUGUGAAUGUGAGCUUAAUGUUUGAGUAGAACAAAAAUGUCUUUACUUUUGUGAUCGCCAGUUGUCUGUGAUGUAAAGUGGAAAAAACACAGCUAUGAAGCAUACAAUUGUUUCAAUAUUUUAUCAAUGAUAGUGUGCUAUGCAUGUUUUGAUUUAGUUCGUUUCAGAUACGACAUGACAUGAAGAGUUGACAGUCGAACAGAGCUGAGCAAAGCAGAAAGGUAAGUGUGUUUCAUUUUAGUAUGAACACUUGUAUUUUGUUUUUAUAUGGUAUGUUUUGUGCAUGCUAUGUUUCAGGUGUACUUGUAGUCAGCGACGAAGACGAUUCAAGAAGAGGAACAUUGCUGAGAAAGUGAAUGGGACUUGCAAACAGGGUAAGUGUUACAAUUGUUCUUUUGAUUUUUGCCAUGCAUACUUUGCUUUGCUCUGUUUCAGAUUUCACAUGCAGAAAUGGUCUCAUAGCAGUGCCAACAGUGAAUAAGGAUUUCAGCUGCUGUGAAACAACUCAACAGAAAGUAGGUAAGCAUUGAAUGAAUGCACUUGAGUUGUACAAUUUGAUGUGAUGCUUUUCUCUGUUUCAGAUUCAAGUUCCUGGUGUAGACAGAGAAAUGUGUUUGAAGAAGGAAUUCUACUACUGUGAUUCAACUCUACAGAAGCAAGGUAAGUAGAAACACAAUUUUGGUUUAAUUUAACUCAUGUGUUUUGCACUGCAUGCUAUUUUUCAGGUCUCUCAUGCAGUGAUGCAAAAGAAGAAGAUUUCAAGAAAGAAUCACUGCUGCAACUCAGGCCUAUAACAAGACUUACAUUGCUGUGACUGUUCCACAGUGGGUCAAAAAAGAGACGAAUACAGGUUUCAAGAAGAAAAUUGGCUGUUGAAAACCUGCACAAAAUAUGAGGUAAGUAAACUAUUCUUUUGGUUUGUUUUGUGCUUUGUUAUGCUUAACUAUUUUUCAGAUUGGAAUGGUGGGUCGUUACAGAGCAGACUUUUGGACAACUGAGAAGUUGAGAAACAGAGAAUGAUUCAAGAUCAGCUAGGUAAGUCUUGAUUAUUCUGCAUUGUAAAAUGUGUUUCUUUUUCAUUUCAGUAUGGCUGUGGUAAGUACACAAACUUUCUUUAAUUUUCAUAUUGAACUGUUUUGAUGACUUGUAUUCUACU